rnacentral:rRNA from 1 species
CCUACGGGGAGCUGCAGUGGGGAAUAUUGCACAAUGGGGGAAACCCUGAUGCAGCGACGCCGCGUGAGUGAUGAAGUAUUUCGGUAUGUAAAGCUCUAUCAGCAGGGAAGAUAAUGACGGUACCUGACUAAGAAGCUCCGGCUAAAUACGUGCCAGCAGCCGCGGUAAUACGUAUGGAGCAAGCGUUAUCCGGAUUUACUGGGUGUAAAGGGAGCGUAGACGGCAGCACAAGUCUGGAGUGAAAUGCCGGGGCUUAACCCCGGAACUGCUUUGGAAACUGUGCAGCUAGAGUGCAGGAGAGGUAAGUGGAAUUCCUAGUGUAGCGGUGAAAUGCGUAGAUAUUAGGAGGAACACCAGUGGCGAAGGCGGCUUACUGGACUGUAACUGACGUUGAGGCUCGAAAGCGUGGAGAGCAAACAGGAUUAGAUACCCUUGUAGUC